GUGGGGUUUUUCCCCACCCGUGGACAGGUUUCAUUCUCGCAUGGAGUGGUCUGAUGCUCCUCAGCCCGUGAAACGGUGACAGGCUGUGUAGGUUUUUCUUGUUUCCAGGUCUUGUUUUGAAUUGACUUUCAUGCAAUUGUUCUUUGUUUUUCCCAGGAAGAUUACACCUGGUGCCCGGACUGGACGGGGAAGCGCCUGCACCGUCCGUGGAGCACAUCCAGUGCCAGCGCUACCCCAGGGGCCACGGCCUGUGGGGACAUCCCCUUCAAGAAGGACGAGGACCUCGUGUGGGAUCAGCUCCUCUCCUGGCAGCAGGUCUGCAGAGGCUGCCAGCACCUCAUGCCAUGGAAACGGCUCCGCUCGGCCUGCCAGGCUGGGAGGGCUGGAGGGCGGCGGGUGUUCAUUUGCUGUCAAAAAGAAAUCGUUCUAUUUUUUUGUCA